rnacentral:rRNA from 1 species
GAUGAACGCUGGCGGCGUGCCUAAUACAUGCAAGUCGAGCGAACGGACGAGAAGCUUGCUUCUCUGAUGUUAGCGGCGGACGGGUGAGUAACACGUGGAUAACCUCCCUAUAAGACUGGGAUAACUUCGGGAAACCGGAGCUAAUACCGGAUGAUCUUUUGAACCGCAUGGUUCAAAAGUGAAAGACGGUCUUGCUGUCUCUUAUAGAUGGAUCCGCGCUGCAUUAGCUAGUUGGUAAGGUAACGGCUUACCAAGGCAACGAUGCAUAGCCGACCUGAGAGGGUGAUCGGCCACACUGGAACUGAGACACGGUCCAGACUCCUACGGGAGGCAGCAGUAGGGAAUCUUCCGCAAUGGGCGAAAGCCUGACGGAGCAACGCCGCGUGAGUGAUGAAGGUCUUCGGAUCGUAAAACUCUGUUAUUAGGGAAGAACAUAUGUGUAAGUAACUGUGCACAUCUUGACGGUACCUAAUCAGAAAGCCACGGCUAACUACGUG